AAGUUCUGGUGCUGGGGACCCCUCCCACCUGGGAGGAACCAGACGAGUCCUCAAUGCCGCCUGCUGGCGCGGAAUGAAUGAACAAAGAGGCCCCAGCCUUCUCCCCCCACUCGGGCACCCCACCUUGUGGAACGGCUACUGGGUCCCGGGUCGGGGUCCUGCCAUCCCCUCCUUCCCUGGAUCCCCUACUCCCCAUGCCGGGUAGAAUUUCCAGGUAAAUUACAGAAUGCCAAGUUACAUUUGAAUUUCAGGAGUGAAAUUGCUGGUUCACAUGAGAACUCUAUAUUUAACUUUUUGAGGACCUGUCACGGAUUAUGAGGAGUGUUUUACCUACGUUAUACAUCAGAUCUUCACAAUGAAUCUGCCAAGGAGAAACCAACCCCUUUUUGGAGAUGAGAAAACUGAGGCUCAAAGAUGUAGAGAUAUGCGUCCAGGCGUAUGGCUGGCACAUGACAGAACCUAUCCUGCUGGGCUCAGCUCUCCCCCAGUCUCAUCCCUUCUGGCUGGGGUGACUAUUCUCCAGGAAGCUCCUGCAUCUCAUAUUCCCUAUUCCUCUGAGGCAGCUCCACCAGGCUCAGAGGCAGCUCUGGAAGUGGCAGAUGAAUACAUGGGCUCAGAAGGCUGGAAGAGGAAGAGCCCUGUGAACCCCAUCACCUGAAGGAUGUCCAGAGCAAACUGGCAAAGGAAGCUGAGAGCAAGAGAGAGGGGUGGAGCUGUGGGAAGUUUGGAAGACUUGGCCAGGUGUCUCUGGGGUUUCCACUUUGGGUCCAGGGACAGGUCCUAAGCUGUUUGCCUUUCCUGUGGGGGUUAUGAGUAGAGCCUGGGGCCUGCACAUGUCCCAUACCUAGGGGUAAAUGACAGACUGGGCCAGGCUCCUCACCCAGCCUGUGCAAUUCCAACAUCUCUGCUGAGCAGGAACGGGGGGACGGGAUGCAUAGAUGUGCAUUCCCUCUUAUGUAUCAAACAUCAGCUGAGCACUUUACAGAUGUGGCAUAAAUGAGAAUGAUAGAAACCAUA